rnacentral:rRNA from 1 species
CUGAUCAGCCAUGCCGCGUGUGUGAAGAAGGCCCUCGGGUUGUAAAGCACUUUCAGCGAGGAAGAACGCCUAGCGGUUAAUACCCGCUAGGAAAGACAUCACUCGCAGAAGAAGCACCGGCUAACUCCGUGCCAGCAGCCGCGGUAAUACGGAGGGUGCAAGCGUUAAUCGGAAUUACUGGGCGUAAAGCGCGCGUAGGUGGCUUGAUAAGCCGGUUGUGAAAGCCCCGGGCUCAACCUGGGAACGGCAUCCGGAACUGUCAAGCUAGAGUGCAGGAGAGGAAGGUAGAAUUCCCGGUGUAGCGGUGAAAUGCGUAGAGAUCGGGAGGAAUACCAGUGGCGAAGGCGGCCUUCUGGACUGACACUGACACUGAGGUGCGAAAGCGUGGGUAGCAAACAGGAUUAGAUACCCUGGUAGUCCACGCCGUAAACGAUGUCGACCAGCCGUUGGGUGCCUAGCGCACUUUGUGGCGAAGUUAACGCGAUAAGUCGACCGCCUGGGGAGUACGGCCGCAAGGUUAAAACUCAAAUGA